rnacentral:rRNA from 1 species
UACAGAGGGUGCAAGCGUUGUUCGGAAUUAUUGGGCGUAAAGCGCGUGUAGGCGGCCUUGCAAGUCGGGUGUGAAAUCCCUCAGCUUAACUGAGGAAGUGCGCCCGAAACUGCUAGGCUCGAGUACCGGAGAGGAUGGCGGAAUUCCCCAAGUAGAGGUGAAAUUCGUAGAUAUGGGGAGGAACACCGGUGGCGAAGGCGGCCAUCUGGACGGAUACUGACGCUGAGACGCGAAAGCGUGGGUAGCAAACAGG